rnacentral:rRNA from 1 species
CCACCUGUUCCCAUACCGAACACAGCAGUUAAGCCUGCAAACGCCGAAAGUACUUGGGUGGAAGCGCCCCGGGAGGAUAGGAAGCCGCUGAUU